AUUGAACGCUGGCGGCAGGCUUAACACAUGCAAGUCGAGCGGGGAGGUUGCUUCGGUAACUGACCUAGCGGCGGACGGGUGAGUAAUGCUUAGGAAUCUGCCUAUUAGUGGGGGACAACAUUCCGAAAGGGAUGCUAAUACCGCAUACGCCCUACGGGGGAAAGCAGGGGAUCUUCGGAACUUGCGAUCAUAGAUGAGCCUAAGUCGGAUUAGCUAGUUGGUGGGGUAAAGGCCUACCAAGGCGACGAUCUGUAGCGGGUCUGAGAGGAUGAUCCGCCACACUGGGACUGAGACACGGCCCAGACUCCUACGGGAGGCAGCAGUGGGGAAUAUUGGACAAUGGGCGGAAGCCUGAUCCAGCCAUGCCGCGUGUGUGAAGAAGGCCUUUUGGUUGUAAAGCACUUUAAGCGAGGAGGAGGCUCUUAAGGUUAAUACCCUUGAUGAGUGGACGUUACUCGCAGAAUAAGCACCGGCUAACUCUGUGCCAGCCGCCGCGGUAAAAC
rnacentral:rRNA from 1 species